rnacentral:rRNA from 1 species
GACGAACCUUGCUAACGUUAUUCGGAAUCACUGGGCUUAAAGGGUGCGUAGGCUGUGCAGAAAGUUGGGUGUGAAAUCCCUCGGCUUAACCGAGGAACUGCGCCCACAACUACUGUGCUUGAGGGAGAUAGAGGUGAGCGGAACUGAGGGUGGAGCGGUGAAAUGCGUUGAUAUCCUCAGGAACACCCGUGGCGAAAGCGGCUCACUGGGUCUCUUCUGACGCUGAGGCACGAAAGCUAGGGGAGCAAACGGG